ensembl:misc_RNA 7SK 7SK RNA
GGAUAUGGGGCCAAUUUGGCUGCAACAUCUGUUACCCCAUUGAACAACAGGGUUCAUUUGGCUAGUCUGGCUGGCUUGGCAGGUUUUCCCUUCCCCCCUUAUCGCUCCAUGUGGAUCCCUCCUGAACCAGCGAGCUCUAUGGAGAAGGAUGACCUUUGCCAAAUAGAGCCUGACCGGUCUUCGGUCAAGGGUAUAGGAGCAACUGCACUCCCCUGCUAGAACCUCCAAACAAGCUCUCAAAGGACACACAAAUACUAAUUCAAAGGGACAUAUGCAGCCCUAUUUUUAUAGCUGCAUUAU